UGGGGAAUUUUGGACAAUGGGCGAAAGCCUGAUCCAGCAAUGCCGCGUGUGUGAAGAAGGCCUUCGGGUUGUAAAGCACUUUUGUCCGGAAAGAAAUCCUUGGCUCUAAUACAGUCGGGGGAUGACGGUACCGGAAGAAUAAGCACCGGCUAACUACGUGCCAGCAGCCGCGGUAAUACGUAGGGUGCAAGCGUUAAUCGGAAUUACUGGGCGUAAAGCGUGCGCAGGCGGUUUGCUAAGACCGAUGUGAAAUCCCCGGGCUCAACCUGGGAACUGCAUUGGUGACUGGCAGGCUAGAGUAUGGCAGAGGGAGGUAGAAUUCCACGUGUAGCAGUGAAAUGCGUAGAGAUGUGGAGGAAUACCGAUGGCGAAGGCAGCCCCCUGGGCCAAUACUGACGCUCAUGCACGAAAGCGUGGGGAGCAAACAGGAUUAGAUACCCUGGUAGUCCACGCCCUAAACGAUGUCAACUAGUUGUUGGGGACUUCAUUUCCUUAGUAACGUAGCUAACGCGUGAAGUUGACCGCCUGGGGAGUACGGUCGCAAAGAUUAAAACUCAAAUGAAUUGACGGGGUCAUAGCUGUUUCCU
rnacentral:rRNA from 1 species